UGUUUUUUUUUGGGGGGGGGGGGCUCAGACAUUUAUCAUUAUUAAGUAACAAAGGUCUAUCAAAACUAUCAAAGAAGUUUAAAUUAAUCGAUUAUCGUCGGUGUUUCCAAGAUUUUAUCGAUUAUGAGAAAUUGAUACAUUUUAUAAUCAAUUUUUUGAAAAUUAAUUUUUUUUUUUUAACAUCGCCCAUCUCUUCCUGACGGUCAUAUAUUGUUUAGAAGAAUCAAAAUGAGGAAGAGAAUUAUAUUUUUAAAUAUAAAUAACAUGGUUGAAGAUGAAAUAUAGGCCAUAGUUUAUACGCUUGUAAUUACAACACGAAAAUAGAGUGAUGUGGAGCUGGUUAAUACAUCAGCAAAUCUGUAUUUCGAAGAAAUACAGUUGACGACAGGUAUAAUUUUAUAACUUAUAUACUAUUAUUUUUCACCUUAUUACAGCAUACAUUUUUAUUUAGAAAAAAAUACUCAUCUUGAAAAAAAUUACACUCUAUACACUCUGGUGUCUUGGAGAUCCCAAACUCAUUUGAUACGUUUAUUGCUCGAUGGUUCAGCGAUAACUGGCGCACGUCAACAUGUCUAUCUACUGAAGAGACUCCAAACUUUUAUUUACGUCAACGUCCUCUCUUUCCAAUUUUUCGAAAUGUCAACCUGAGAAAGUUCUUAACUUCCUCAGGUUCUACUGGAGUCCCAAGAAUCCCAGUAUGUAUAUCUAGGAUUAAGGUCAUCGAGAAUGAUGGAGACUAUUUUAUCGAUUAAAAUUUUUCUUGUACUUUUAUAAGUAAAUUUUAAAUUUUGCGAAAAAGUAAGGAAUUAAUUUGUACAUCUAAUAUAAUUAUAGAUCCGGUAACAAUUUGGAUGGAUUGGAUAAGGCACAAAGGCAUAACGACAAUGAAACAUGCAACAACGGAAGAUAUAACAAUUGAAGAUACAAUAAUGAAAGAUUUAUAACUGAAGAUUCAACAAUGCUUAAUGAAAAUAUUAGAAGGAAGAGAUUCCGGAAUAUAUUUUAGCAGCCUCGGAUAAAAGAAACAAAAAUAAUACAUUACUUACAUUUCUAAUGCAUUGUAUAGACUGUAUAUUAAGUAAGUAUUACAGCAAACAAUUUAUUUAUGAUAUAAUACAAACAUAAUACUUUUAAAAAUUCAUAUCUGCAUUGAACGCGUUAAUAUUAAUAAAAAUAUGAAUAUUUUAAUUAAUAUCUUUCUUCACAGAAUAUUGAUACUCACAUUUCAUCUGAUAAAAAUUACAAUUCUAACCUGCAGUUAAAA